GUGGGGAAUUGUUCACAAUGGGCGCAAGCCUGAUGACGCAACGCCGCGUGGAGGAUGAAGAUUUUCGGAUCGUAAACUCCUUUCGACCGAGAUGAAUUCCUCCCGACCUAAUACGUCGGGAGGGUGACAGUAUCGAGGGAAGCAGCCCCGGCUAACUCCGUGCCAGCAGCCGCGGUAAUACGGGGGGGGCAAGCGUUGUUCGGAAUUACUGGGCGUAAAGGGUUUGUAGGUGGCUUGCUAAGUCAGACGUGAAAUCCCUCAGCUUAACUGGGGAACUGCGUCUGAGACUGGUGAGCUUGAGUGCAGGAGAGGAACGCGGAAUUCCAGGUGUAGCGGUGAAAUGCGUAGAUAUCUGGAGGAACACCGGUGGCGAAGGCGGCGUUCUGGACUGCAACUGACACUGAGGAACGAAAGCCAGGGGAGCAAACGGGAUUAGAAACCCGGGUAGUCC
rnacentral:rRNA from 1 species